AAGUCGUAACAAGGUUUCCGUAGGUGAACCUGCGGAAGGAUCAUUACCUUUUCUGGCUAUUUUAAUUAAAGCCAUUCGUCGGGGGGUUAAUAAGUUCUCUAUAGCCUCUGACUGAAUCCGUGUUUUUCGCGUACUACAUGUUUCCUCGGCAGGCUUGCUUGCCGAUUUGGACAACCAUAAAACUCUUUGCAAUUGCAAUCAGCGUCUGAAUUAUUUAAUAAUUACAA
rnacentral:misc_RNA from 1 species